rnacentral:rRNA from 1 species
GUGGGGAAUAUUGCACAAUGGGCGAAAGCCUGAUGCAGCAACGCCGCGUGAGGGACGACGGCCUUCGGGUUGUAAACCUCUUUUAGUAGGGAAGAAGCGAAAGUGACGGUACCUGCAGAAAAAGCACCGGCUAACUACGUGCCAGCAGCCGCGGUAAUACGUAGGGUGCAAGCGUUAUCCGGAAUUAUUGGGCGUAAAGAGCUCGUAGGCGGUCUGUCGCGUCUGCUGUGAAAACUGUAGGCUCAACCUCCAGCCUGCAGUGGGUACGGGCAGACUAGAGUGCGGUAGGGGAGAUUGGAAUUCCUGGUGUAGCGGUGGAAUGCGCAGAUAUCAGGAGGAACACCGAUGGCGAAGGCAGAUCUCUGGGCCGUAACUGACGCUGAGGAGCGAAAGCGUGGGGAGCGAACAGGAUUAGAAACCCGUGUAGUCC